CCCACGGCAGUUCAGGACGGGCUAAUCACCGUAGCCUUGUGGGCAGCUCCGAACAGCCGAACACCUGGUGUGUAGUUUUGUGUUACCUGGGGAAGAACAUCUGGGAAGGCUGGAUCUGCCCACCCUUUGACUGGGAGUGUUAAAACAGGCUGACAAAUUUGUCUCCAUUAUGGAUUUUCCGAGGAGUAAAAUUAAAACUGGCUGGAGGAAUGCUGGCGGCUUCUUCUUUUUGCAACCAUGGAAAAAACAACAACAACCGGACGGGCUACAAAAGGCUGUGCUUAUUUGCUUUGUCCUCGGUCGCAUUUCUGAGCUGCCCACUCAGAACGCAGGACAACCAAAGCACGAAAGGCAGGCAAGAUAAUUCCACCUCAAGAUCAGCUCAAGGACCAGAGAAGAGACAGACUGACAGGCACGAAAAGCUUCCUUGGGAACUGGGGGCAGUUUGCCAGGGUUAAGGAUGCAGUAUUGCACUUUGCCAACUCUGCCGACUGCCAGCGGUUCAAACCCGACCGGCUCGAGGUUGACUCAGCCUUCCAUCCUUCCGAAGUCGAGGGUUUGUCGUGUUGGGCAGCUGGCUGAGAACAGACAUCCUGGACCAGCGGAACCUUCUGUGCAGCCUCCCAGGGCAGCCCCGCGCAGAACGCAUUGCAGUCCUCUGAUGAAAGGUCAGCAUGUCCUGGGUGUCCUGAGGGAGGCUCUCCCAGCCUGGAGGGGGCUCAGCCCC
rnacentral:lncRNA from 1 species